rnacentral:rRNA from 1 species
UACAGAGGGGGCGAGCGUUAUUCGGAAUUAUUGGGCGUAAAGGGCGCGUAGGCGGCUUUUCAAGUGACGGGUGAAAUCCCUCGGCUUAACCGAGGAACUGCCUGUCAGACUGGAAGGCUUGAGACCGGGAGAGGUGAGUGGAAUUCCCAGCGUAGCGGUGAAAUGCGUAGAUAUUGGGAGGAACACCAGUGGCGAAGGCGGCUCACUGGACCGGAACUGACGCUGAGGCGCGAAAGCGUGGGGAGCAAACAGG